AGGAGAAGUUGCGCGAGCUACAUGGUCGCAUGCAGGAGAUGGAGAAGAAGGCAACCUUUGCGGAAGGUGUUCUUCUCCAGAUUUUGCAGAACACCCAAUGUGACAAGGAAGACCACCAUUCCAUUGUGAUGGUACCCAGACCAGGUGGAGGCCCAUAUGAGUUCGGAAGCCGAACUGCUAGUCAUAGUCAUCCAUGCCAGACACUGACAACACUAACCCAGCUGAGGUCAUCAACAGAGAAGGGUAAGGGUCUUGAAAACAACCCCAAGGGUCUCCAUAAGAGUCCAUCGAUGAGGCUUGGUUGACACCGCGCCGGUGCACCGCUUUCCCUGUGAUGGCUCCACCCCCAGCGGAUGCGGGAUAUUGGUCGAUUGGAAUACCGAAUUUGUUCAGCAAUAUAUCGUCAAUGAAGACUCCCACCACUCUGUCAAAUAAGGUAUGCCAAUUUGCGUGUUUCUAGCCUAUUCAAAAAUUGCAUGUGUGUUUGUCCUGAGUAAAUGACCUAUAUGCAUUUCGUGUUAUACAUGACAUGAUCGAACGGCCUUUGUGGAACCAGGUCGAGUCGACGACUGGCCUCGUGGGCCUGUAUGCCUCAGGACCAUCAAAUGGCAAACCAAAUAAGUUAGCCAAAAUAGAACAGACUGGAUCGACCACCAUGGAGGGGUCUCCGCUGACAGGACUGAAUCUGACCCAGAGUGGGAAGCCGGAAAGGUCGGGGAGUAGACGACCUCUCUUGAGAUGGCCCGGUCCUCGCCACGAUGGCCCCUCUAGCAACUCCCAAAAGUUUGUUGUACUGGUUGUCCCCAUGGUAGCUUUUUUUUCAAUUUUUUGGGCCCAUUGUUUAUUAGCAUGUGAAGACUUAUUAACUCCGGGACUGUUACCAUAAUCUCCCUUUAUUGACGCAGAGCCAUGACAUGCAAUUCAGGCUAAUUUUGGACAUGAGACUCUCUAUUGAGCAGUGCAAGCUUGCUACAUAUGUCUUUGCCAAGGUUAUCAACGACACAAAAUACAGGUUAAUUCUAUCCUUUUAGUUAUGUUUCAGUUCAUGUUGCUAGAUAUGUACAACCCAACGCUUUGGAAAUCUAACCCGAUCUUGUUAAAGUGCGGUGAGGUACUCUUCCACUUUGCUGAAUUUGAAAUUCCGCGGGGAAUGUUCUUCUCUCUCAUCCCGCCAUGGACUCCACACACUGAUAUUAUCAAUGCUUGGUGUAUGCUUGUAUCCAUGAAGUGCUCCAAAAGCAUAGCACCACGUGUGUGGUUCUUUCCGUCUCAUUUUGCAGCUGAUGUCUUGCGCGAGGUGGCCAUAAAGCAACUGAAAAACAAAUACGAGUACAAGUGGAUGCCUAAGACCAGCCAUCUUGAACAUGUCUUUGUCCUAGUGUUGGAACCUGCUGAUGGCUGGUAUCUAAUGCUUUUAAACAUUAAGGCAUUAAAGGUGUAUGUGUUGGAUGUUUGCCAUGACGAUGAGAGUAUAGUCCGGUGUGAGACCCACAUGACACGGAUUGUAACUUGCAAAUCCAUUAAGUUAUUCUUUUACACUAAACACUUUAGGUAAAUUGUUCAUGACGGAGAGGAAUGUUGUGAACUCCAAGCAUGGCUCUUGUGAUCCUUCUGCAUGGAAAAAAUUUAACUAUCCCAAGGACAUCCCCAACGAGCUUGGAAGUGAGGAAAUUGCUGUUUGGUGCUUGUACUGGCUGCAGCAGGAAGGAGGAUUCUCCACAAAGAUCUUUAGUCCUUCGGCGAGCACACUUGCAGUUAGGAUGAGGAUAACCGCAUAUCUCAUCUAGUCUGAACCGAAUCAGGUUCGAGGACUCGUGGAAGCAAAAGCAGAGCACCUAUGGCAUGACAUCACGACCAACAAAGAGUAGGAUCCCACAACUAUCCACAUGCCAUAAGCUCCUAUAAUACCGAACUCUUUUUUGUGAAUUCUAGAUACGUAUCUAACGGUGGGAGCAGCCCCUCUGUCUGUGGCGACCUGCCUUGAAGAACUUGUUUGCCCCGUAGUAUUAUAACUACAUAAAAAUUUGUAUCUACUGCAUAGCAGGGUAAUCUUAGUUGUAGAUUAAGGAGCAAAGGUGUGUCCUUUUGGUGGUGUAUUAGAAACUAAUGUUACUUACUGGGCUUACGACCUACAGGGUGCAACUAUGAUAGGGCCAUGCAUGCUUUAGUCGGAUGGCCCACUUGUAGUUGUCUUCUUCAAUGUGGCCGAAAAGCUCCACAACCUUUAUAUAUAUUGAUGCAUGCUAG